UACGUAGGUGGCAAGCGUUGUCCGGAAUCAUUGGGCGUAAAGCGCGUGUAGGCGGCCCGGUAAGUCCGCUGUGAAAGUCCAGGGCUCAACCCUGGGAUGCCGGUGGAUACUGUCGGGCUCGAGUCCGGAAGAGGCGAGUGGAAUUCCUGGUGUAGCGGUGAAAUGCGCAGAUAUCAGGAGGAACACCAAUAGCGAAGGCAGCUCGCUGGGACGGUAUUGACGCUAAGGCGCGAAAGCGUGGGGAGCAAACAGG
rnacentral:rRNA from 1 species